GGCUCUUUGAAAAUGUUAAAGAAAAGGAGUCGGGCCUGCCCGGUGAAGAAGGUUUUAAACGGUCGCAGUACAUGUGCAAAGGUAGCAUAAUAAUUUGUCCUUUAAUUGGGGAAUGGUAUGAAUGGUUUGACGAGCGGGGAACUGUCUCUGAAGCGACUUCCAAAAUUUUCUUUUAAGUGAAAAGACUUAGAUUUUGAAAUAAGAAGAGAAGACCCCGGUGAGCUUGAUUAAGGAGUUUAUCAAUAGUCUCUCGAAGUUUUGUUGGGGCAACAGGAAGGGAAGAAGAUCUCUUCUGGAGUUACGAAGAAAGUCAUGAAGAUUAUAAGGCAAAAGCUACCACGGGGAUAACAGCGCGAUCACUUUUUGAGAGGACAUAUCGAAGAAAGGGCUUGCGACCUCGAUGUUGGAUUAGGGUUUCCUUUUGGUGCAGGGGCUAAACGGGAAAGACGUGUUUGUCUUUUAAUUCCUUACA
rnacentral:rRNA from 1 species